UGGUCGGAGUGGAGAGAUUCGAACUCCCGACCCUCUGGUCCCAAACCAGAUGCGCUACCAGACUGCGCUACACUCCG
rnacentral:tRNA from 1 species